rnacentral:lncRNA from 1 species
AUGGACUCACUAGCAGGGCUUCCCCCCCCCCAGCCAGAACUUGACGGAACUCAGUUCCAGCACCUCUCAGGUGGGUGCCAUUGCUGUUCUAAGAGAAUGACGUUCAUGCUAAAACCAGACAAUGGCUUCCUACAAAGAGAUGAGCACGGGCAGAGGAACUGGAUGUUGGCAUUUUACCAAGCCUGCCAACUGCAAAGCACUUUUCAAAGCGCAUUGUGGGAAGGAGCCAACCUUUUUGAAAUGACAGGCACAUGUUAGUCUGCAAGAAAACGAAUCCGCUUAAUUUACUUAAAGCAGAGGAAUAGCACCAGCAAAGCGAAGUUGGCAGCCCCGACAAUAUGAAUCCUCCAAAAGAAGCUUGCCUCCGUGGUACUCAUGCUCUCUCAUGCUCAGACAUGGCCACUUUUGAUCCCUGCUGAGUUUGAGUCUAUGAAGAGGAGACAACAAGCCUACAGGUCUACAGCUGCAAAGGUAGGCGCCAAGGUAAGCGGAGGACUGCAGCCAUUUCAGGCAUCCAUCUUGCAGCGAGC